AAGAGAGGAGCUUGCUCUUCUUGGAUGAGUUGCGAACGGGUGAGUAACGCGUAGGUAACCUGCCUUGUAGCGGGGGAUAACUAUUGGAAACGAUAGCUAAUACCGCAUAACAAUGGAUGACACAUGUCAUUUAUUUGAAAGGGGCAAUUGCUCCACUACAAGAUGGACCUGCGUUGUAUUAGCUAGUAGGUGAGGUAAUGGCUCACCUAGGCGACGAUACAUAGCCGACCUGAGAGGGUGAUCGGCCACACUGGGACUGAGACACGGCCCAGACUCCUACGGGAGGCAGCAGUAGGGAAUCUUCGGCAAUGGGGGCAACCCUGACCGAGCAACGCCGCGUGAGUGAAGAAGGUUUUCGGAUCGUAAAGCUCUGUUGUAAGUCAAGAACGGGUGUGAGAGUGGAAAGUUCACACUGUGACGGUAGCUUACCAGAAAGGGACGGCUAACUACGUGCCAGCAGCCGCGGUAAUACGUAGGUCCCGAGCGUUGUCCGGAUUUAUUGGGCGUAAAGCGAGCGCAGGCGGUUUGAUAAGUCUGAAGUUAAAGGCUGUGGCUCAACCAUAGUUCGCUUUGGAAACUGUCAAACUUGAGUGCAGAAGGGGAGAGUGGAAUUCCAUGUGUAGCGGUGAAAUGCGUAGAUAUAUGGAGGAACACCGGUGGCGAAAGCGGCUCUCUGGUCUGUAACUGACGCUGAGGCUCGAAAGCGUGGGGAGCGAACAGGAUUAGAUACCCUGGUAGUCCACGCCGUAAACGAUGAGUGCUAGGUGUUGGAUCCUUUCCGGGAUUCAGUGCCGCAGCUAACGCAUUAAGCACUCCGCCUGGGGAGUACGACCGCAAGGUUGAAACUCAAAGGAAUUGACGGGGGCCCGCACAAGCGGUGGAGCAUGUGGUUUAAUUCGAAGCAACGCGAAGAACCUUACCAGGUCUUGACAUCCCGAUGCUAUUUCUAGAGAUAGAAAGUUACUUCGGUACAUCGGUGACAGGUGGUGCAUGGUUGUCGUCAGCUCGUGUCGUGAGAUGUUGGGUUAAGUCCCGCAACGAGCGCAACCCCUAUUGUUAGUUGCCAUCAUUCAGUUGGGCACUCUAGCGAGACUGCCGGUAAUAAACCGGAGGAAGGUGGGGAUGACGUCAAAUCAUCAUGCCCCUUAUGACCUGGGCUACACACGUGCUACAAUGGUUGGUACAACGAGUUGCGAGUCGGUGACGGCGAGCUAAUCUCUUAAAGCCAAUCUCAGUUCGGAUUGUAGGCUGCAACUCGCCUACAUGAAGUCGGAAUCGCUAGUAAUCGCGGAUCAGCACGCCGCGGUGAAUACGUUCCCGGGCCUUGUACACACCGCCCGUCACACCACGAGAGUUUGUAACACCCGAAGUCGGUGAGGUAACCUUGUGG
rnacentral:rRNA from 1 species